rnacentral:rRNA from 1 species
UACGGAGGGGGCUAGCGUUGUUCGGAAUUACUGGGCGUAAAGCGCACGUAGGCGGCUUUGUAAGUCAGAGGUGAAAUCCCGGGGCUCAACUCCGGAACUGCCUUUGAGACUGCAUCGCUUGAAUCCGGGAGAGGUGAGUGGAAUUCCGAGUGUAGAGGUGAAAUUCGUAGAUAUUCGGAAGAACACCAGUGGCGAAGGCGGCUCACUGGCCCGAUACUGACGCUGAGGCACGAAAGCGUGGGGAGCAAACAGG